rnacentral:tRNA from 1 species
GGCUCCAUAGUGUAGUGGUUAGCACAUCUGCUUUACACACAGAAAGUCUGGGGUUCGCGCCCCAGGUUGAGCCA